ACGUAGGGUGCAAGCGUUAAUCGGAAUUAAUGGGCGUAAAGCGUGCGCAGGCGGUUGUGUAAGUCAGAUGUGAAAUCCCCGGGCUUAACCUGGGAAUGGCAUUUGAGACUGCACGGCUAGAGUGUGUCAGAGGGGGGUAGAAUUCCACGUGUAGCAGUGAAAUGCGUAGAGAUGUGGAGGAACACCGAUGGCGAAGGCAGCCCCCUGGGAUAACACUGACGCUCAUGCACGAAAGCGUGGGGAGCAAACAGG
rnacentral:rRNA from 1 species